rnacentral:tRNA from 1 species
GCGGGAAUAGCUCAGUUGGUAGAGCACGACCUUGCCAAGGUCGGGGUCGCGAGGUCGCGAGUUCGAAUCUCGUUUCCCGCU